rnacentral:tRNA from 2 species
CGGAGUGUAGUUCAGAUGGCUAGAACGCAUCGAUGGGGUCGAUGAGGUCGCCGGUUCAAGUCCGACCACUCCGA